GAGGUUUGAUGGAAACAACUCAUUUAGGGAAUUCCAAAAUUGACCUAAAUUAAAUUCCAAGGGAAAAAUCUUCCCUAGGUUCAGAAUAUGCAGUAAGAAAUGUGAACAUCGUAGCAGAUAUUUGAUGAUAAUGUAUUGUGCUGAAAACAGGG
ensembl:scaRNA